ACGGAAGGCAGCAGUGGGGAAUAUUGCACAAUGGGCGCAAGCCUGAUGCAGCCAUGCCGCGUGUAUGAAGAAGGCCUUCGGGUUGUAAAGUACUUUCAGUCGUGAGGAAGGUGUUAAGGUUAAUAACCUUAGCAAUUGACGUUAGCGACAGAAGAAGCACCGGCUAACUCCGUGCCAGCAGCCGCGGUAAUACGGAGGGUGCGAGUGUUAAUCGGAAUUACUGGGCGUAAAGGGCACGCAGGCGGUUAAUUAAGUUGGAUGUGAAUCCCCGGGCUUAACCUGGGAAUGGCAUUCAAGACUGGUUAGCUAGAGUCUUGUAGAGGGGGUAGAAUUCCAUGUGUAGCGGUGAAAUGCGUAGAGAUGUGGAGGAAUACCGGUGGCGAAGGCGGCCCCUGGACAAAGACUGACGCUCAUGUGCGAAAGCGUGGGGAGCGAAACAGGGAUUAGAUACC
rnacentral:rRNA from 1 species